AAAAAAUACGCCUGGUAAAAGUGUAAAAACGCUGGAUCCAGUGCUGUAUACAACCACCUGUUUACCUUUACCUGUUGCUUCCGUGGAAUUACGGGUGCUCUUCCUGUUCACAAGGCAGGCUCGAGUUACCUUCCACGGGUGUAUUUAAAAAAUUGUUUUUGUAUUAUUGUCUGAUUUAAAAUUUUAAUAAAAGUUA
rnacentral:misc_RNA from 1 species